rnacentral:rRNA from 1 species
UGGCUCAGGACGAAACGCUGGCGGCGUGCUUAACACAUGCAAGUCGAACGGAAAGGCCCGCUUGCGGGUACUCGAGUGGCGAACGGGUGAGUAACACGUGGGCAACCUGCCCUCAGCUCUGGGAUAACACCGGGAAACCGGUGCUAAUACUGGAUAUCAACUUCUGUCCGCAUGGGUGGUUGUUGAAAGUUUUUCGGCUGGGGAUGGGCCCGCGGCCUAUCAGCUUGUUGGUGGGGUAAUGGCCUACCAAGGCGACGACGGGUAGCCGGCCUGAGAGGGCGACCGGCCACACUGGGACUGAGACACGGCCCAGACUCCUACUGGGAGGCAGCAGUGGGGAAUAUUGCGCAAUGGGCGAAAGCCUGACGCAGCGACGCCGCGUGAGGGAUGACGGCCUUCGGGUUGUAAACCUUUUCAGUUCUACGAAGCGAGAGUGACGGUAGGAGCAGAAGAAGCACCGGGCCAACUACGU